rnacentral:rRNA from 1 species
UACGUAGGGGGCGAGCGUUGUCCGGAUUUAUUGGGCGUAAAGAGCUCGUAGGCGGCUUAGCAAGUCGGGGGUGAAAACUCCAGGCUCAACCUGGAGACGCCACUCGAGACUGCUAUGGCUAGAGUCCGGUAGGGGACCACGGAAUUCCUGGUGUAGCGGUGAAAUGCGCAGAUAUCAGGAGGAACACCGGUGGCGAAGGCGGUGGUCUGGGCCGGCACUGACGCUGAGGAGCGAAAGCGUGGGGAGCAAACAGG